ACUAAGUGUUCGUAUAUCUUAAAUUUACAGACUGUAUUCGGAAUUUUAAAGAAAAACUCAGAUAGGGAUCUUGACCAGUAAAAUCUCCACCGAUACUACCAGAUUGGAGUCUCUACCCUGAUAUGAGAUUCAUAAGAUUAUCAAUAGCAGGAACGGAAACUUUAUCGUGCUUUCAGAAAUCAAUUCCAGUCCUCCCUUGCAAGAAAAUAUUAAUGGUCGGUACCCCACAAAAUGUUGAAAUGUCGGUUAGGCCACACCAAGUAAUUUUUAUGGAUAACGCCCUCUCGAGACCCAAAAUCUAAUGCGAGAGCGCGAAAAAAAACUCAAGAUGCCUAGAUUUGAUGUAUUCUAAGGGACGGCAAAUGUGAAAACACAGUGUAACAACCAAUAAGUAUUUUAUUCGUCAUGAAAACAGCAAUAAAUCAGUGGUACAGCAGUUGCCGUCUUGUCCUGUUUCUUUCCUUUAUCAAAUCUUCCCUUAUCCAACUGUCGUGACUUUUUAAUCAUAGUUACAAAAAGCAGCUCUUCUUGUUUUUUUUUCUAGGAACAGGCCAAAAUCAAUGCGCGCGCGGACGUCAUCCAUAAAAUUUACUUGGUGUGGCCUUAUCGAGAAACCUUCCUCUUCCCUAUCCUGUCUAGGCCUGUCCACAGAAACCACAGUGUAAUCCGUUUUGAAAUUGUAGCGUAAACAAUUCCGUUUUUGACCCACGGGAAUUACUGUACCUGCCAUUUGAUAUGUGAGUCAAAAACAACUUGUUAGCACAGGUGUUAAGGCCAAGGCCAUGUAGACUCACUCGUGUCAAUCUACGUGGGAGACCAGAUCCCUAAUGAGGGAGUUCUGAAUUUACUCAAGCUUUGUACACAAAAGUGGCCGUACGUGUAUUUCCUCUAAAAUCGUAUGCGUUCACAAGCAAUGUUUCAUCACGUAAUAAUGAGUGAUAAAACUGUACGUUGCGUUACAUCUAUGUUAUUAGUUUUGCAGG